CACACUUAUAAGUAUAUCAGGGGUGGUUGGUGGCAUGCUGGUUAAAGUUCAGGGCUCAUAAUCAAAACAUUUCUGGUUUGAUUCUCACAGCUGUUACAGUUGUGCCUAUGAACAAGACAUUUAACCCUGGGUUGUUUCAGGGGGGACUGUACUGUGUUAUGCAUCAUCUGGUGAAGUCGACAAAAGUGUAAACAAUCUCAGAGCUGGCCAAUUUCCACCUAUAAUAAUGGACCAUGAAACAACAGAAGGAAAACCAGCAUGAAGGAAAACAGAGGAGAGAGAUAUCUGGGACAUCACUCUUCCACUCACGCUCCCUCAGUCUACUAAUGAGACUUGUCAUCAAGAUUGUGAGUGUCAGAUGUGGCUGUGUUCGACACUGAAGAAAGUGUUUAUCAAGGACGAGAGACACACUCAGAGCUGUUUCCAGCAAACAGAUGUCAUGUUGGACUGCGUCUAAGAAUUUCACGAUAGCAAUAAACCGAAGCACCAGGUGAGAAAGUGUGUGGCAGCUUUCCAACUGUGAAAGAAACAGACUGUGAAGCUCUCCGCUGGAAUCCAAGUUAUUCUGGCAGCGGGGCAAAAUCUUUUGGUCGCUCUACCUACAGCAAAGCCGAGGCUUUGAAUUGCCAGUUACACAACUGCAUUCGCAGAACUCCUGUCUAAUACACCAGACCUCAGAGGCUUAAAUCAUAUAUCCAUCAAAUCUGAAAAUUCAAUCAGCGCCCAAGGCUGACCCUCCUCCAGAUGCCUGACAUUCAGUGUCGAACCCAGCACGAGACAGAAAUAACAAAAUAUGUUUUCACAAAAUACUUGAUUUAAAAGGCAGAGAUUAGCCCUAAGCCACUGGGUAGAGAUGGGAAAUGCCAAUAAUGAAACAUGACAUGGCAAAGCCUGCAGGCAGGGAUUGUGUUCUGAAGGUUGUCACCCUCAGCGCUUCUCCGUAGGAAAAGCAGAAAAAGGUUAGCUAAUCUCAUUGAGAGAGAGAUGAAUGUGCUAUCGGGAUGAGUGGUGAAUGCAUGUAAAUGACACCAGAGCUUCAGAUCACAUAAUACGGAUGCUUGCUCUGGGCUGAUGAUAUGUGCUGCAAAGCUAUAAAUGACUGAUAGACUUGUGGCUAUGGAGGGAAUGGGCAAAAUCUACUAUUUUUCCUUCCGUGAUGGUCCUGCACAGGUGGUGUUUGUGUUCCUGUGGGUGCACAGGCUGUUGUGUGAGCAUGACAACCAAGGAUGUUGGAUCCAUAAUUGAAGAUGCAGUCAGGAGAUGACCAGGAUGCUGUGUAGGUGUUUCUACAGCAGAAUUUAUGUGCACUCAAGUGGGCUGAUGUAGCCCUUGACUCUCUCUGUAUCAACAGUGUCACAAGUCAGUCUAUACGGGUGUUGAUUCUGAUGCUUCCAAAUUUUCUCCUAGAUUGGGAAGUAGUAAGUCACAGUUUUCUCUUUUUUUCCCAUCUUGUCAGGUUCAAUUGAGAAAUCUGAUUGUAUAAAUGUAUCUGUUGGCUAAAUAGUUCUCUGAAUGCUAUUAAAUGUUGCUGUCAAAUCCUAG
ensembl:lncRNA